rnacentral:rRNA from 1 species
GAAGCUUCAGGCCUAACACAUGCAAGUCGAGCGCGAAAGCUCUUCGGAGUGAGUAGAGCGGCGGACGGGUGAGUAACGCGUAGGAAUCUACCUGGUAGUGGGGGACAACUUGGGGAAACUCAAGCUAAUACCGCAUACGCCCUACGGGGGAAAGCGGGGGAUCUUCGGACCUCGUGCUAUCGGAUGAGCCUGCGUUGGAUUAGCCAGUUGGUGGGGUAAAAGCCUACCAAGGCGACGAUCCAUAGCUGGUCUGAGAGGAUGAUCAGCCACACUGGGACUGAGACGCGGCCCAGACUCCUACGGGAGGCAGCAGUGGGGAAUAUUGCGCAAUGGGCGAAAGCCUGACGCAGCCAUGCCGCGUGUGUGAAGAAGGCCUUCGGGUUGUAAAGCACUUUCAAUUGGGAGGAAAGGUUCGUAGCUAAUACCUGCGAGCUGUGACGUUACCUUUAGAAGAAGCACCGGCUAACUCCGUGCCAGCAGCCGCGGUAAUACGGAGGGUGCGAGCGUUAAUCGGAAUUACUGGGCGUAAAGCGCGCGUAGGCGGUUUGUUAAGUCGGAUGUGAAAGCCCCGGGCUCAACCUGGGAAUUGCACCCGAUACU